GACGAACGCUGGCGGCGUGCCUAAUACAUGCAAGUUGAGCGCUGAAGGUUGGUACUUGUACCAACUGGAUGAGCAGCGAACGGGUGAGUAACGCGUGGGGAAUCUGCCUUUGAGCGGGGGACAACAUUUGGAAACGAAUGCUAAUACCGCAUAAAAACUUUAAACACAAGUUUUAAGUUUGAAAGAUGCAAUUGCAUCACUCAAAGAUGAUCCCGCGUUGUAUUAGCUAGUUGGUGAGGUAAAGGCUCACCAAGGCGAUGAUACAUAGCCGACCUGAGAGGGUGAUCGGCCACAUUGGGACUGAGACACGGCCCAAAACUCCUACGGGAGGCAGCAGUAGGGAAUCUUCGGCAAUGGACGAAAGUCUGACCCGAGCAAACGCCCGCGUGAAGUGAAGAAGGGUUUCGGA
rnacentral:rRNA from 1 species